UGACUAAUAAAAUUGGAGGAUACCACCCGUCAAAAAAAAAAAAAUGGAGGAUACCAAAAAAAAAAAAUUACAAAAAAUAGCCAAAUUAGAAGACUUUAUCGGCAGUGGCCAUCAUCAUCUUCAUCACUAGCGUCAGAUCAUACAAGAGCAAAUUAUGAAGUAGAUGCUACAACUCAAAUUCAGUGGUUGCCGUCGGAGAUAUAUUGUGAUAUUGUGGCAGUGAGCAGGAAUAGCUAGCAGAGGAGAGAGACUGAAGAGGAUAAAGGAGGUAAGGAGUAAAAGGGUGAUGUAUGUUUGAAGAGAGAGAAUUUAGAAUGACGUAUAUUGGGUUAGAAUUUGAAAUUCAUAAAACAUAACUGAUUUAUGUAAUCUUGGAAUUGGGCCAAAUAUAAUUCCAAAAUUUUGAAGUAUCCAAACAAGAUAAUUGUCCCAAUUCUUGAAUUUGAAAUGAAAUCAUGCCAUCCAAACAGGCCAUAAGAGUAAUUUGGGACGAAGGGAGUACAAGAACAAUUCAAAGAAAUUAUUACAACAAUGACAAUGAUAAUAAGAGUACGUAUUAAAACUAAGAUCAAUAAGAGAGUGAGGUAUAACUCAAUUAGUUCUUCUUAGUUUCAGGAGAUCCUGAAAGUGAUUCUUAGCCUAAAGUUCUAAACACA